rnacentral:rRNA from 1 species
UGCCAGCAGCCGCGGUAAUACGUAGGGGGCAAGCGUUGUCCGGAAUUAUUGGGCGUAAAGCGCGCGCAGGCGGCUUCUUAAGUCAGGUGUGAAAGCCCACGGCUCAACCGUGGAGGGCCACUUGAAACUGGGAAGCUUGAGUGCAGGAGAGGAGAGCGGAAUUCCACGUGUAGCGGUGAAAUGCGUAGAGAUGUGGAGGAACACCCGUGGCGAAGGCGGCUCUCUGGCCUGUAACUGACGCUGAGGCGCGAAAGCGUGGGGAGCGAACAGGAUUAGAUA